rnacentral:rRNA from 1 species
UACGGGGGAUGCAAGCGUUAUCCGGAUUUACUGGGUGUAAAGGGCGUGUAGGCGGGAUGGUAAGUCAGAUGUGAAAACUAUGGGCUCAACCCAUAGCCUGCAUUUGAAACUAUCGUUCUUGAGUGUUGGAGAGGCAGGCGGAAUUCCGUGUGUAGCGGUGAAAUGCGUAGAUAUACGGAGGAACACCAGUGGCGAAGGCGGCCUGCUGGACAAUAACUGACGCUGAGGCGCGAAAGCGUGGGGAGCAAACAGG